GGCUCUGUGGCGCAAUGGACAGCGUGUUGGACUUCUAAUUCAAAGGUUGUGGGUUCGAGUCCCACCAGAGUCG
rnacentral:tRNA from 1 species